ACAGAGAGGGGUAAGAGUGGAAACAUCAGCAAAAACAAAUGUAUCUAAACCAUCUACAGUGCUGGGGGUGUCUUUGAGACCAUCUCUCAAAAGAUCAUUAAAUUCUACAGGGAAUUUUAGAAUGAGAAAAAACAAACACAAAUACUAAACAGUUACUGGUGAGUCCCUGAAAAGGUGGCAGGUUUCUGCUUUGUUACAGCAUUUUCAAAUAGAAUACCAAGAGUUAUGAACAACAGAAAUAGCUUCCUGCAAGUCAAGAAAAGCCACAGCGACCACCACUCGUGAAGGGAGCGAGGCUGGGGCUGAGGGAGGCCUGGGGAGGGCAGAUCAAAGCUAGUCCUCCAGGCGGCUUUCUGCACUCACAAGGCCACCCCGUUCACACCCGGGAAGUCCCCAAACCCCAUGGCUGCAGCCCCUCCCAGCCCACGGGCCCGGCACCUGAUGGCCCGGGCUAAAUCACCCUGAUGAAAACAUUUUCCUUUGUUGUUUUCUGUUUUCCAUUUUCCUUACUUACCAGUGGGGAUCCUUGGCCUAGAAAAUUUGGUUCAGUAAAAUUUAACAAGAAUCCCUACGCGUGCCCAGCCCUGUGCCAGAUUUGGGUGAAAGGAAAAGAAUCACCACAGAAAGAGGGUCAAAAGGCACAGCUCCCCUACAAUGCAGGGAUUGCUCUGGCAGGCUCCUGGCCCAGUGAAACCCUAUGGGCACCUCUGAGGCCAGAACAAAGGGUCCCUGCCUCACAGACGAGGAACGCAAGCUUGGAAAAAAGAAAUUUGUCCUGCAUCCCAAAUCUAGGUUUAGAGGAAUGAAGCAAUUGGCCCAAAUCCCAAAACUAGCCAGAACUUGAGUCCCAAUGAAGAUACACAGUCUUAACCUUUCUCUAGGAGGGAAAAAAUCCCCCUAAAAGCAAAACAAAGCAGAGCACAAAUCCGUGCAGACCUAAGUGAAGAGUACAGUGCUACCAUAAGAGCAGAGGGCUUCAUGUUCAAACGUUGAACAGUAAUUUUUAAGCACUGCUUUAGAGGAGGAGAGAAGGGCACCCCUUGGUCUUGAACUCUUGACCACCAAGCCUGGAAUUUGCAUAGAGGACAAGACCCCAGCCAGGCCCUGCCUGCCUCUGACUGGAACAUCCCAGGACCAGGAGACUUCACCAGGGCACCUCCAGCCACCGGAAAGGCAGUUCCAUUUCACCUCCCAUUUCAUCCUCAUUUUACAGACGGGCAGCAAGAGGCACAGAGAGCCAAGCAGCUCCUAUAACAGAGGAAGUUACCAUGGUGUAAGUGUGUCGGGGUUGGGUCCUGCCGGUGGGUUCGUGGCCUCGCUGACUUCAAGAAUGGAGCCACAGCGUGGUGGCAGGUGCCUAUAAUCCCAGCUACUCCGGAGACUGAGGCUGGAGAACUGCUUUAACCCGAGAGGCGGAGGUUGCAGUGAGCCGAGGUCGCGCCCACUGCACUCAAGACUGGGUGCCAGAGCGAGACUUCACCUCAAAAAAAAAAAAAAAAA
rnacentral:lncRNA from 1 species